UUACGGUAACCGUACGAGCUAAUACCGGAUAAUAUUUCGAACCGCAUGGUUCGAUAGUGAAAGGUGGUUUUGCUAUCACUUAUAGAUGGACCCGCGCCGUAUUAGCUAGUUGGUAAGGUAACGGCUUACCAAGGCGACGAUACGUAGCCGACCUGAGAGGGUGAUCGGCCACACUGGAACUGAGACACGGUCCAGACUCCUACGGGAGGCAGCAGCA
rnacentral:rRNA from 1 species